AAAUGUAUUCUUGUAUGCUCAAUUAGAAAAAUCAUAUUAAAUCAUGUAAGUAAGAUGUUAUGAAGUGCAAUGGCCAAUAAUAACCUGGGAUACACAUGCUCUUUCACCAUUGAGAUUUUUCAGGAGCAGUGAUCCAUGGGGAGCUCGCGUGUGUGAUCUCAUAGAUGGACACUUUUUGUGUAUGUCAAAGGCAACUAAGAGAAGACCCGAGCUUAAGUGUGGAAGAAUCAAAUAUCCGCUUCUAUGUCUACACUCAAGGGGAAGCCUUGAAGCCUUAAUCAUUAAAAGAUCAGCUUCGUCAUUUUAACUCUUUUGGGAAUGUAAUAUAAAUUUAACAACUUAAGAUUUUAUUCAUAGAGAGUUUAUGAUUAUUGAGAGUUGUAAUAUUUUGAACAUCUAAAGUUCUCUCUAGACUUGGGAGAGGAACUCCAAAACCGAAACUAGGGCUAGGAAAGUGAGUGUAACUUGUGUUUGCAUUCUUGGCUUGAGGUGUUGGUGAUUAGGGUGGUAAAGUCCCCCGUUUUUCAAUGUAAGAUUUAGGUGUUUGUUGUGUGAAGUGUUAAGGGGGUCCAAGAGUUAAAUAUGAUCUUGUAUUUUUAAGACUACACAUCAAGUGUCUAACUAUC